rnacentral:rRNA from 1 species
AUUGAACGCUGGCGGCAGGCCUAACACAUGCAAGUCGAGCGAGCGGCGGACGGGUGAGUAAUGUAUGGGGAUCUGGCCGAUAGAGGGGGAUAACUACUGGAAACGGUGGCUAAUACCGCAUACUAUCGGUUGGACCCAUAUGGGAUUAGCUAGUGGGUGGGGUAAAGGCUCACCAAGGCGACGAUCUCUAGCUGGUCUGAGAGGAUGACCAGCCACACUGGGACUGAGACACGGCCCAGACUCCUACGGGAGGCAGCAGUGGGGAAUAUUGCACAAUGGGCGAAAGCCUGACACAGCCAUGCCGAGUGUAUGAAGAAGGUCUUAGGGUCGUAAAGUACUUUCAGCGGGGAGGCGUUACCCGCAGAAGAAGCACCGGCUAACUCCGUGCCAGCAGCCGCGGUAAUAC